UACAGAGGGGGCAAGCGUUAUUCGGAAUUAUUGGGCGUAAAGGGCGCGUAGGCGGCUUUGCAAGUGACGGGUGAAAUCCCUCGGCUUAACCGAGGAACUGCCUGUCAAACUGCAUGGCUUGAGACCGGGAGAGGUGAGUGGAAUUCCCAGUGUAGCGGUGAAAUGCGUAGAUAUUGGGAGGAACACCAGUGGCGAAGGCGGCUCACUGGACCGGUACUGACGCUGAUGAGCGAAAGCGUGGGUAGCAAACAGG
rnacentral:rRNA from 1 species